rnacentral:rRNA from 1 species
GGCUCAUUAAAUCAGUCAUGAUUCAUUGGAUGUUGUAAAAUCCUUACUCGGAUAACUGUGGUAAUUCUAGAGCUAAUACGUGCAACUAAGCUCCGACCCCGGCCGUUUCAUUACGGUCUCGGGGGAAGGGCGCAUUUAUUAGACCAAAGACCGGGUGGAUCCAAGCGUUGGCUCGUCUUUUCCCUCCUGGGGAAGCGCGCCUUCGAAAAAUCCUCCUUUAUGGUGAACUGGUGACUCUGAAUAACUACAGCCGAGCGCUGAGGUCUUAGUACCGGCGCCGUAUCCUUCGAGUGUCUGCCUUAUCAGCUCUCGAUUGUAGGUUAUUCGCCUACAAUGGCUGUAACGGGUAACGGGGAAUCAGGGUUCGAUUCCGGAGAGGGAGCCUGAGAAACGGCUACCACAUCUAAGGAAGGCAGCAGGCACGCAAAUUACCCAAUCCCGGCUCGGGGAGGUAGUGACGAAAAAUAACGAUGCGGGACUCUUCCGAGGCCUCGCAAUCGGAAUGAGUUCAAUUUAAAUCCUUGGACGAGGAUCCAUUGGAGGGCAAGUCUGGUGCCAGCAGCCGCGGUAAUUCCAGCUCCAAUA